AUUGAACGCUGGCGGCAGGCUUAACACAUGCAAGUCGAGCGGAGAGAGGUAGCUUGCUACCGAUCUUAGCGGCGGACGGGUGAGUAAUGCUUAGGAAUCUGCCUAUUAGUGGGGGACAACAUUUCGAAAGGAAUGCUAAUACCGCAUACGUCCUACGGGAGAAAGCAGGGGAUCUUCGGACCUUGCGCUAAUAGAUGAGCCUAAGUCGGAUUAGCUAGUUGGUGGGGUAAAGGCCUACCAAGGCGACGAUCUGUAGCGGGUCUGAGAGGAUGAGCCGCCACACUGGGACUGAGACACGGCCCAGACUCCUACGGGAGGCAGCAGUGGAGCAUAUUGGACAAUGGGCGCAAGCCUGAUCCAGCCAUGCCGCGUGUGUGAAGAAGGCCUUAUGGUUGUAAAGCACUUUAAGCGAGGAGGAGGCUACUUUAGUUAAUACCUAGAGAUAGUGGACGUUACUCGCAGAAUAAGCACCGGCUAACUCUGUGCCAGCAGCCGCUGUAAUAC
rnacentral:rRNA from 1 species